CUGGCAGGUUCCUGUCUGAUGUUGCCAUGGGAUCCUGGAUCAUGGGCUGUGUGGUCCUUUGUCUCCUGGGAGUAGGCCCCAUGGAAGCCCAAGUGAUCCAGAUACCCAGACACCUCAUCACAAAGACUGGAAAGAGCACAACCGUGACUUGUUCUCAGAAUAUGAACCAUGACUCUAUGUACUGGUAUCGACAAGACCCAGGGCAAGGACUGAAGCUAAUCUACUAUUCACUUAAUGUUGGCAUGAUUGAAAGGGGAGAUGUUCCUGAUGGAUUCAAUGUCUCUCGAAAAGAGAAGAAGAGUUUUCCCCUGAUGGUGGACAAAGCCACCACCAGCCACACCUCGGUGUACUUCUGUGCCAGCAGUAAAGGCGUGGCUGUGUCCUGAUGUGUCAACUAUGACUAUACCUUCGGCUCAGGGACCAGGCUCACAGUCAUAGAAAACCUGGACAGGGUGAAUCCACCCAAAGUGUCUGUGUUUGAGCCAUCAGAAGCAGAGAUCGGCCAGAAGAAGAAGGCCACGCUCGUGUGCCUGGCCACAGGCUUCUACCCCGACCACGUGGAGCUGAGCUGGUGGGUGAACGAGAAGGAGACCCGCAGUGGGGUGAGCACGGACCCUCAGCCCUACAAGGAGCUUCCUGGCAACCCAAACUCCAGCUACUGCCUCAGCAGCCGCCUGAGGGUCUCAGCUGCCUUCUGGCACAACCCCCGCAACCACUUCCGCUGCCAAGUCCAGUUUUUCGGGCUCUCGAAUGAUGACCCCUGGGACCAGAAGGACCGGGCCAGACCUGUCACCCAGAAUGUCAGCGCUGAAGUUUGGGGCAGAGCAGAUUGUGGAUUCACUUCUGUGUCCUAUCAGCAAGGGGUCCUGUCUGCCACCAUCCUCUAUGAGAUCCUGCUGGGGAAGGCCACCCUGUAUGCUGUGCUGGUCAGUGCCCUUGUGCUGAUGGCCAUGGUUAAGAAAAAGCAUUCCUGAGCCUACUUUGAACAUAGAAGCAGAGACUUCCAACUCAUUACGGUGUCUGCAUGGAUUCUCCUUCUGCCAGUGCUUCUGAAGAGUUUAUUUCAUUUCUCUACUCAUUCUAGUUCUACCCCACUAAACUCAAACACACCUGCAUGUUCAGCCAUCAGGCUGAAGUAUCCCUACCCCAGGAGAAUCCCAGAGUGUCUGGAUGAUGGAAUCAAUAAACACGCCUUGGUC